rnacentral:rRNA from 1 species
UACGUAUGGUGCAAGCGUUAUCCGGAUUUACUGGGUGUAAAGGGAGCGUAGACGGAGAAGCAAGUCUGGAGUGAAAGCCCGGGGCUCAACCCCGGGACUGCUUUGGAAACUGUUUUUCUUGAGUGCCGGAGAGGUAAGCGGAAUUCCUAGUGUAGCGGUGAAAUGCGUAGAUAUCGGGAGGAACACCAGUGGCGAAGGCGGCUUGCUGGGCUCUAACUGACGCUGAGGCUCGAAAGUGUGGGGAGCAAACAGG